AACACGAUACUUUACAUUAUUUACGUUUCUGGAACCUUGAAAUGAAGUUCAGCGUGGUGUCACGACAGCGCUGCGAUAGCCUUUGAUAGAUAGAGUUUUACAGUGUAGCACCCAAAAAAUAUAUACACAUAAUAAUUGAUGGUCUCGCCUGCCUCAUUCCACGACCUGCUCAGUGUUCAUUGACAUCGCCGCCCGGUGCUGAUAGUUCCAACAUGAGGCAACUUCUGCCCGUUAUCUUAACGCUCUUUGCCCUCCAUCAGUAUGAGGCUGCCGUCCCUGUCGCAGGAGUCUAUGCUCGUGUGCGCCAAAGCAAAACGUUCGUCGACAAGACCAACUUCAUCGGACUGUUCCUUGAUAUGCCUCAUUCUACAAUCCACAUAACAGUGCCUCCUAAAUUCGGAAAGUCAGUGAACCUGGACAUGUUGAGACUUUACUUUGAAAGAAUAGAAUCAGAUUCCACUCCGAUUCCGAUCCGCUUUUUCCGCGGCACGACAUUCCGCCGAAACCCACGCUUUGAGAAACACUGGUGUAAGUAUGAAGUCCUCCACGCGGACUUCAGUCCCUUCAAGAUAGUCCAGGACGUCGAAACUUUUAAUAGAACUGUUGCUGAGGUGGUCUGCCAAAUGGCCGAGAAAUACCGCGGUCAUUUAAUUUUGACCUCUUGCACUCGCAGUGACGGCAAGAAGACUCCCGCUCAAGCACUUCUUGACUUCUAUAAUGAAUAUGAGUUAUCAAUCCUUGACGCAGGGAAACAUCUCAUCAAGGAUAUUUCUUGGUUUUUCGGCGAAAGAGUUAUCGUGCUGAUCGACAACGUUGAUGCAAUCCUCCACAGCUACAUGAUCGGACCAGUGCGAGACAAAGAAAAAAUCCACAAUUAUUUCGGCCAGUUCUUGCGGGGACUAGUUCAGGACUCACCACAGGUUGAGAAAUCCUUAAUGGUAGGGUCUCUGACCCUGGGUGGUGUCUUGUCCACCUUGACGAACGAUACGAAACACCUGUUCGCCUUUGAGAACGGAACCUUCGCCCAGUAUUUCGGAUUCACCGGACAGGAUGUCGACAACCUCCUCGAUACUUUCGAGAUCCGUGAAAAGAACGCCCAACUGCGAAGCUUGUACAUGGGCUACAGGGUGAUAGACUCUCCGAAUCUAACCCUCUACAACCCUCUUUCUAUCACCGAUUUCCUCGAGGAGAGGUGGCAUACGAACAGUUCAAAUUUAUUCAAAGGUCUCGACGGCUGUGAUCGUAUCUUGGAGAAUGGCGUGAUCGGUCGAGAGGUCGAACGCGUGUUGUACAAGGUGAAAAAGAGAAAGGUACACCUCCCUCGCAGAUACACCUUCAGCAACGGGAGACUGGAUGUCCAACACGUGGACCGCCUACACUGCGGCAUGCGCUCCAAGAUCAACCUCCGCAAGCGUGGACGACAUCAACCUUUUCAUGCAGUACCUCUUCGAGCUGGGCUACUUUAGCAUCAUUCACGGUCGAGUUGUGACGUCAGAACUCGACAUGGUGACCACUAUCGAGGACAUUGUCUUGACCACCGCCACCUUGGAGGCUCGCAAAGUGUUGAGGAAGUACUUGACCGCCUCCAACUACUACCAGUUCGUGCUGGGUAAAACCUGGGACCAGCUGAAUGCGUUCGGGGAGUUCCUGCUGGACCUGCCUGGUAAAGAGGUGUUCCACGACCUGACGGUGGCCACGCAUAAGAUCUUCAGCCGGACGUGGGACGAGGUGAGCUGGCCGGUCUCCAUGACGGGGGCCAUGGAGGCGAUCUUCGCGCACAACGCCACCCUGGCCAAGCAGUAUCCUGCCGUCCACUUCGAGCUGGUCGUCGAGGGGGAAGCUGACGGUUUCGAUUGUUCCAACGAGUUGGACGUGUUCCUCGUCACGCGCAAGAGCGUCGGGAUCAUCAUCAAGAACCGGCAGGGGAUCGAGCACAAGUCCGCAUCGAAAACCUUUUACUCAAUGCUGGACCGAGGGUGUGAUGACGUGUACGAACAUAUGCGCCAGAGGAUCCUGGUCAAGACUAAGAUAGCCAUGCUUAUCAAUUUGACCCCGUCACGCCACUGCGAGAUCUUCUACCGCGUGACCGAUCAGAGGCAGGGAGACCCGUUGUGGGGGUUCGCCCAGCACCCGCCCGGGGAGAUCCUCGAAUUUGAGGGGACCAAGAAACCUGACGACGCGACCCCGGUAUGAAGUCCAAGUUCGACCUGGAGACCCAGAAGAUGCGCGAGGAGAUGUCCGUGAACUUAGCACCCCCACCUCCUCAAAAACUAAAAAAUGCAUCGUCAGGAAUUUGCUCACCUUUUGCUCAGGUAAAAAAACAACUUUUUA
rnacentral:lncRNA from 1 species